CUUGAAAAAAAGAAAGAAAAAAGGUAAAGGUUUCUCCUCAACGGAAACCUUUCAAUUGGAUGAUUUAACGUUAAAUGACCCUUCCAUAUUUUUCCCUACCUAAAAGUAUUUGUUUUUAUUAACAUGUUACAUGGUCUAGCUCCCUGUUGCAUAAACAUUUAUUAUUCACGUCCACUGUUGACAACAGCAUCGUUCCUUCUUACGAAUAGCACGUUACAACGAUACUAAUUUUUAUCUAAUGACUUUUAGUGUAAUUCGGAAAGAUCGCGGAUAAUAAACUACAGAAUCUACAGAGUUCUACCUUAAAUAGUUCAAAUAAUCCCGUUCUUCUUCAUUUUCUUUUUUUCUUUUUUCUUUUUUUUUUUUUUUCUCUCGAUUGAUUCAUUUCGACUAUAAUACAAUGUUACAAGCAUGAUUCGUGGUUGGUUGGUGACGUAUCGCUAUGGAUCCAUAGAUCCGUCCGAUGGCGAGAUCUAACAGUAUAGGUAAUGGUAUCUUAUGGUACGCGAUGUAUAAUCAAUCGAUGAACAAGUAUAGUUCGAGCACGAACGUUUCUUUUCGUUGAUUCAGAAACGUUGGUUAAUGGAAUCCCGCGUUGCGUAGUUUCCAAACACGGUGGUACUACCGGCUUAUUUGGUGGCACUGGAGGAGGAACACCGCGGGAUACUGGUGGCUUUUUCGAGGGCAGCAUACCAGAUGCUUGAAUCGCCGAACCAGAUCCAACAUGAAAACCAACCUUUCCUGCAGCUUGCGUCGAUGGCAUAAGUUUUACCGUGCCUCCAGGAUUUACAGGAGCAGGCACAACCACACGUUUGUCUACAGCCUGAGGAAUGAAUACACAGGAGAUCCGAUUUAACGUUCGGGUUAUCCCUUUCAAGGGCAUUAUAUUGACAUGUCGCUGCAUUUAAGAUAAUAAUUAAAAACAGAAAGAAGAGGGGAAAAAGAGAGAAGUCGAAAUUAUACCAAAUCACCAAUAUAAAGCGAAGAAAUAAAUCAAUUGCCAGAGAAACAGUGACUGAAGAUCUUUGAAAAAGAGGCCGGCUUGUUACCUAAGCAAAAAAUUGACCAUAUAUAUAUAUAUAUAUAUUUUCCUAUCUUUAACCGAGACAUGUUAAUUCCUAACAAUGAUGUAGGCAACUUAAUACGUUACUUUGCUGACAAAGUCAUUGAGAGAUAGUAUGAAUUUUAUCUGCGAACAUAAUUGGAAGAAUUGUAAAGUUCUACCAUAAAAACUGUAGGUCUACUUUUCUUUGUUAGGAUAGUACAUUACACAACUUGGAAAAAAUAAUAAGUGAAACAACCAAACCGUAAAGUUAGCAAUAGCAAAUACAGGGUUGCAAUUAGGAGGGCAAGCAGGGAAAAUU